rnacentral:rRNA from 1 species
AUACGGAGGGUGCGAGCGUUGUUCGGAAUUACUGGGCGUAAAGGGCGCGCAGGCGGCUUGAUAAGUCAGAUGUGAAAGCCCACGGCUCAACCGUGGAAGUGCAUCUGAAACUGUCUGGCUUGAGUACUGGAGAGGAAGGUGGAAUUCCUGGUGUAGAGGUGAAAUUCGUAGAUAUCAGGAGGAACACCGGUGGCGAAGGCGACUUUCUGGACAGAUACUGACGCUGAGGCGCGAAAGCGUGGGGAGCAAACAGGAUUAGAAACCCCAGUAGUCC